UUAAUAGGCAAACUUAAGGAAAUUUAAGGACGCAAAGCUAUAGGGACUAAAGUUAUAAUAACUAAGUCAGCCAGUUGCC
rnacentral:ncRNA from 1 species